AAGCAAUGAGGUGCUUAGUGGCUAUCUUGAAGUCUUUGGGAGAUUGGAUGAACAAACAUUUGCGUAUUGCAGAUCCUCUUUCAACCAAAAAGUAUGAGGCAUCUGACAGUAACUCUGAACCUGGAAUUCUUCCCAUUACAAAUGGCAUUGAGGAUGAGCCUACUGAAGUAUCAGAUUCUCAUUCUGAAUCCUCUAGUGAAGUUUCUGAUGUUUCUACAAUUGAGCAGCGCCGCGCUUACAAGCUUGAACUUCAGGAAGGUAUAUCUCUGUUUAAUAGGAAACCCAAGAAAGGCAUUGAAUUCCUGAUAAAUGCUAAUAAAGUGGGGAACUCACCAGAGGAAAUUGCGGCAUUUCUUAAAGAUGCCUCUGGUUUGAAUAAGACCUUAAUAGGUGAUUACCUGGGGGAAAGGGAUGACUUACCAUUGAAAGUAAUGCAUGCGUAUGUGGAUUCCUUUGAUUUCCAAGGGAAGGAGUUUGAUGAGGCCAUCAGGGCCUUUCUACAAGGAUUCAGAUUGCCUGGCGAGGCACAGAAGAUUGAUCGAAUCAUGGAGAAGUUUGCUGAACGGUACUGUAAAUGCAAUCCAAAAGUUUU
rnacentral:misc_RNA from 1 species